rnacentral:rRNA from 1 species
GGGGGGGGGGGGGGGGGGGGGGGGGGGGGGGGGGGCGGGCGGGGGGGCCCUGGGGGGUACUCGGGCGGCGAACGGGGGAGGAACACGUGGGGAAUCUGCCCUGGGCUUUGGGAUAACUACCGGGAACGGUGGCUAAUACCGGGUACGACAACCGUCUGCAUGGGCUGGUUGUGGAAAGUUUUUUCGGCCAGGGAUGUGCUCGCGGCCUAUCAGCUUGUUGGUGGGGUAAUGGCCUACCAAGGCUUCGACGGGUAGCCGGCCUGAGAGGGUGACCGGCCACACUGGGACUGAGACACGGCCCAGACUCCUACGGGAGGCAGCAGUGGGGAAUAUUGGACAAUGGGCGGAAGCCUGAUCCAGCAACGCCGCGUGAGGGAUGACGGCCUUCGGGUUGUAAACCUCUUUCAGUACCGACGAAGCGCCGAUGAUGGUGGUGACGGUAGGUACAGAAGAAGCACCGGCCAACUACGUG